rnacentral:rRNA from 1 species
UGCAAGUCGAGCGCUCUCUUCGGAGGGAGCGGCGGACGGGUGAGUAACGCGUGGGAACGUACCCAGAUCUGCGGAAUAGCCACUGGAAACGGUGAGUAAUACCGCAUACGCCCUUCGGGGGAAAGAUUUAUCGGAUUUGGAUCGGCCCGCGUUAGAUUAGGUAGUUGGUGGGGUAAUGGCCUACCAAGCCUACGAUCUAUAGCUGGUUUUAGAGGAUGAUCAGCCACACUGGGACUGAGACACGGCCCAGACUCCUACGGGAGGCAGCAGUGGGGAAUCUUAGACAAUGGGCGCAAGCCUGAUCUAGCCAUGCCGCGUGAGUGAUGAAGGCCUUAGGGUCGUAAAGCUCUUUCGCCUGUGAAGAUAAUGACGGUAGCAGGUAAAGAAGUCCCGGCUAACUCCGUGCCAGCAGCCGCGGUAAUACGGAGGGGACUAGCGUUGUUCGGAAUUACUGGGCGUAAAGCGCGCGUAGGCGGACUAGUCAGUCAGAGGUGAAAUCCCAGGGCUCAACCCUGGAACUGCCUUUGAUACUGCUAGUCUUGAGUUCGAGAGAGGUGAGUGGAAUUCCGAGUGUAGAGGUGAAAUUCGUAGAUAUUCGGAAGAACACCAGUGGCGAAGGCGGCUCACUGGCUCGAUACUGACGCUGAGGUGCGAAAGUGUGGGGAGCAAACAGGAUUAGAUACCCUGGUAGUCCACACCGUAAACGAUGAAUGCCAGACGUCGGGUAGCAUGCUAUUCGGUGUCACACCUAACGGAUUAAGCAUUCCGCCUGGGGAGUACGGUCGCAAGAUUA